CGGAAAGGUCAAACGGGAGGCGAGGGCAGCGAGCGCGGCGGGGCCGCGGCGGCGGCAGCAGUGGGGCACGGCCGGGCACGGCCGCUCUGGGAAGCUCCGCAGCACCCGCCGGCCGGGCGACGCAGCCCCUCGGUCCCCGCCGCCUCCCCGCACAGAGGUGACCAGCUGCUCUGCACCAAGGCCCUGCAGUGAUGUAUUGUAGUCUGUUGCUGUAAACAUCCCCGACUGGAAGCUGUACCUGCUCCAGCUUUCAGUCAGAUGUUUGCUGCACCUGGCUAUGCUUGGACACCAGCAGAAGGAGAAACUGUCGUGAAUACAUGCAUGCAUUUAUAUUUGUCAAGCGGUGUUUCUACGGACAGAGAUGGAUUGCCUCCCUGUGAAUUAUCCUGGCUGGUAGGUGUGGUCUCCUGAAAUCUGAUCUGAGAUGGAGAUCCAAGGCUGAGCUCUUUGCUGCUUUGUGUUAUAAACUACAGGAUUAGGCUUCCUUGGAAUGACCAGUGGUGGUGAACUUCUGCAGUUACCCAUGAACCCUUCAUUAAUGGUCUGUUACUUAGGGCUGUGGGGAAAAAUUAUUAUCAAUGCUGCCCAAUACUUAGUAGGCCUCAUAUCUGCUGUGCCUUGCUUUUUGUUGUUUUCUCUGGAAUUCUGUAUUCCAAGUCUCCUUGUGAGAAGGUUGUGCUCCUAAUUGUUAGCUGGGCAUAACCCAAGACCAAAAUAAAGGUUAAAAACAUAUCACCUAGUCUGUUUUUGCUGUUCUCCCAAUCCAUGGUGUAUGGCCUUGUCUGUGGUGUGGUUUGUGCUGCCCCCACCAUGGUUUGCUUUUCAUGGAAAUAACAGCUUUUGAAAGUAUUCCUUCAGAAGUCUUCACUGGUUCAGUUCCUGAACAACUUAAAACAGUCAUGACAUCAGGAACAGUAUCUGCAGAAAAGCUUCAGCUUUCCACUUUUAUCCAGUAGGAUCUGCAGAGGCUGCUGCCUGGAUCUUGCCUGGGAUUUCUUUCCUUCUUUGUUUCACUCUAGUCUUCUAUUUUUAAAGGGAUGGCCAAUGAGAGUAACUGCUGCUAAUAGAAAAAAUAUUCUUGCAAUAAUCCAGCUCUCUGUUCUAGCCCCCCCAAAUUGUUAUUUUUUUAUUCCCUAAUACUUCAUGAAAUACUUUGUUGAAUUUAAAUGUUAGUAUUCCAAACCUACGUAUUUAUUUGUUUAGGUUCACUAUAGUGGUUCUGUAAAAGAUGAUUAUGACCAAAAAUACAGAUACUUUUAAAAAGUAUCCUUAACUUACCAGAAUUAAAACUAGAAGAAUUUCUUAGUUCUGGGAAAGCUGGACUAAUAAGCAUGGGAAAGGUGAUGAUUUUGAAGCUGUCAGUGAAUGACCAACGGUGAACCAAGGACAGCCAUUUUUCUGUGAUGGUCCCAUUGCUGUAACCAUUUUGUUCCUUACCCUGUGUCCUCCCUGGUGACACAGGAACAUGUGUGGUGAUAGAAGGUUGUGAACAUAUUUAUUGAUCUAAUACAUUGCUAGCACCUCCACAAGGAUUUUGCAAGGAAAAGCAACUUGCACAACUAACCUAACCUCAGUUAAAAUAGCUUUUUUAAAAACAUUGGUCUUAUUUGGUUUGAUACAUCAUGGCUGUAUAUUUAUAAAAAGGACUUUGAUGCAUAAGCUACAGAGCUUGAUGCCUUAAAAAAAAUGCUGGUAGUUGUUUUCCAAGCUUUCUUUGCUGUAAACAUUUAGCAUUUCCUAGUUCUAGACAGUAUUUGGACUUAGAAGAAAGGAAAUUAUUUUUGUUAACAAACUUCUUAGUUCAAAGUAAACGUAUUAUAAUUAAUCUAGUGUUCAUUUUGUUUAGUUCUGUCUUAGCCAUUCCACAUGUCACAAAAGUGCUGGUUUUUGGGGUUUUUUUACAAGCCUAGUUCAUGUGCAGUUUGUCAGUCCAGUCUUGUGGAACUGAACUUGUGCAUACCUUCGUAUUGAACUGGUGUCUAAUCCAUGUACUCAAACACAGCUGUUUCAUGUCAGCACAUGAAAAUAAUUUGAAGUGCAUUGAAGAAUAUUGUAAUUGCAAUAAAUAAAUAAAUUUAAAAAUCCACACUCUA